ACAACCUCUUUAAAUGUGUUCAUGGUAUCUUGUUCAUCAAAUUUUUUUCUGCUGUUCCAUAUUUGAGUUACUGACUCUUUCUUCUUAUUUUGAAUAUGUAAGUGUCUUUUCCUUAAUCUAAAAGAAGAAAAGAAAAAAGGUGAAUAGCUAGCUUAUUGAAGAAAAACUACUUAAGAGAACAAUCAUGGGGCCUUUCUCAAAUUACUUUCAAAGUUGAAAAAUGGUCUACGAGAGGGUUCUUUUGUCUGAUCAAGUAGAAAAGCAGAGUAUGUGAAUGAGUAAUGAGUAGCUUAUUGAAUUGGAAAGGCAGCUGUUAGCUGC
rnacentral:misc_RNA from 1 species